rnacentral:rRNA from 1 species
GACGAACGCUGGCGGCGCGCCUAACACAUGCAAGUCGAACGGUGAAGAGGAGCUUGCUCCUCGGAACAGUGGCGGACGGGUGAGUAACACGUGAGCAACCUGGCUCUAAGAGGGGGACAACAGUUGGAAACGACUGCUAAUACCGCAUGACGUAUCGGGAUGGCAUCUUCCUGAUACCAAAGAUUUUAUCGCUUAGGGAUGGGCUCGCGUCUGAUUAGAUAGUUGGCGGGGUAACGGCCCACCAAGUCGACGAUCAGUAGCCGGACUGAGAGGUUGAACGGCCACAUUGGGACUGAGACACGGCCCAGACUCCUACGGGAGGCAGCAGUGGGGGAUAUUGGACAAUGGGGGCAACCCUGAUCCAGCGACGCCGCGUGAGGGAAGAAGGUUUUCGGAUUGUAAACCUCUGUUGACGGAGAAAAAAAUGAUGGUAUCCGUUUAGAAAGCCACGGCUAACUACGUG